AUUGCCCUAGUAACGGCGAGUGAAGCGGCAACAGCUCAAAUUUGAAAUCUGGCUCUUUUACAGGGUCCGAGUUGUAAUUUGGAGAGGGUGCUUUGGUGUUGGCAGUGGUCUAAGUUUCUUGGAACAGGACAUCACAGAGGGUGAGAAUCCCGUAUGUGGUCGCUAGUCUUCACUAUGUAAAGCCCCUUCAACGAGUCGAGUUGUUUGGGAAUGCAGCUCUAAAUGGGAGGUAAAUUUCUUCUAAAGCUAAAUACUGGCCAGAGACCGAUAGCGCACAAGUAGAGUGAUCGAAAGAUGAAAAGCACUUUGGAAAGAGAGUCAAACAGCACGUGAAAUUGUUGAAAGGGAAGCGCUUACCGCCAGACUUGGCUGCAGUUGUUCAUCUAGGCAUAUUGCCUAGUGUGCUCUUCUGCAGGCAGGCCAGCAUUAGUUUAGACAGCUGGAUAAGGGUCUCUGUCAUGUAUCUUUCUUCGGAAUGACCUUAUAGGGGAGGCGUAGUACGGCUAGUCUAGACUGAGGUCCGCGCAUUUGCUAGGAUGCUGGCGUAAUGGCUGUAAGCGGCCCGUCUUGAAACACGGACCAAGGAGUCUAACAUCUAUGCGAGUGUUUGGGUGUCAAGCCCAGGCGCGUAAUAAAAGUGAGCGGAGGUGGGAGCCCUUUGGGUGCACCAUCGACCGAUCCUGAUGUCUUCGGAUGGAUUUGAGUAAGAGCAUAGCUGUUGGGACCCGAAAGAUGGUGAACUAUGCUUGAAUAGGGUGAAGCCAGAGGAGACUCUGGUGGAGGCUCGCAGCGGUUCUGACGUGCAAAUCGAUCGUCAAAUUUGGGCAUAGGGGCGAAAGACUAAUCG
rnacentral:rRNA from 1 species